GCAAAAGAGUGGCCCAACUCCACCAUUAAUGCAGUUCAUUAGUAAACAUACAUGGAUCUAGAAUUUAGUCACGUGGAUAACUGUCAGUGGAAACAUUUAUAUGCUUCUUUACUUUUGGCUUGUUUCCAUAAUAAUCAAGUUAGAUUAAGUGAUUUCAAUCUUUGCUGUUUCCAGAUCCAAUAUGCUGUCUUUGUUUGUGGUCAACACAUUCAAGCCUAUGCAGUCUCUUAGCUACAUUGGUCAGGUUGAAGAACAAAUGUACAGAUUUUCUUCUUAAACAAAUUAUGGAAUAAAAUUCCUUAGCACCCUUUAACAGCU
rnacentral:misc_RNA from 1 species